AACAACCAAUUGAGCAGCGAAUUUGUUCCACUGAAGAUUUACUAAUCACGACACAUGAUCAGCAUGUUAUUUCAGCGAAUUUGCUAAUUCAUCAGAGCUCUCAACGACCAGGAUUACAACAUCAAGAUUCCAACGAUCAACCUGAUGUUGCAACCAAUUUGUUUGUUCCUCAGAGCACUGAACGAGCAGUAGAUCAUCAUCAAGAGGAUACCCUUUUGACAGAGACGAACGAUCAGCCCAAUGUUGCCGCCGUUUUUGAAAUUCCUCA